rnacentral:rRNA from 1 species
UGGGGGAAUAUUGCACAAUGGGGGAAACCCUGAUGCAGCGACGCCGCGUGAGGGAAGACGGUUUUCGGAUUGUAAACCUCUGUCUUGUGGGACGAUAGUGACGGUACCACAGGAGGAAGCCAUGGCUAACUACGUGCCAGCAGCCGCGGUAAUACGUAGAUGGCGAGCGUUGUCCGGAAUUACUGGGUGUAAAGGGAGUGUAGGCGGGCUGGUAAGUUGAAUGUGAAACCUUCGGGCUCAACCCGGAGCGUGCGUUCAAAACUGCUGGUCUUGAGUGAAGUAGAGGCAGGCGGAAUUCCCGGUGUAGCGGUGGAAUGCGUAGAUAUCGGGAGGAACACCAGUGGCGAAGGCGGCCUGCUGGGCUUUUACUGACGCUGAGGCUCGAAAGCAUGGGUAGCAAACAGGAUUAGAUACCCUGGUAGU